rnacentral:lncRNA from 1 species
ACAGGUGGUUUGGUGGCUGAAUCUGUUGAGCAUCGCCCUCUACCUCCUCUCAGGGAGCAUCAUUGCUGUAGCCAUGCAGAGAGGGGCACGGCUGCCAGCGGAGGUUGCAGGGUUGUCCCAGGUCCUGCUUCGAGGAGGCGGCCAGGUCCUGCUCGGCUGGACACUCCAUUACUUCCCGUUUUUCCUGAUGGGCCGGGUCCUCUACUUCCACCACUACUUCCCAGCCAUGCUCUUCUCAAGCAUGUUGACAGGCAUUCUGUGGGACACCCUCCUGCGGCUCUGUGCCUGGGGCUUGGCCUCAUGGCCCCUGGCGAGGGGCAUACAUGUGGCGGGAAUCCUGAGCCUGCUCCUGGGAACUGCCUACAGGAGCCCGAAGAAUUCUGCUGCUCACCAGGACCCAGCUCUGGGAGUGCAGCUGGAAUGGAACCCAGCAUUGGAGAGAGCCGGGAGAGAGCCGCAGCUCCGUCCACAGCACCACGGAGAGGACAGCGCCUCUUGGGCUGCUCCCUCGUGCACAGCGCAGGGGAGGAUGGGUGCCAGAGGGUGGGAGUGGGUGCGCGUGUGUGUAUGUGAGGGCAUGUUGUCCAUAUCCCUGUGGAAUACAGACCGUGUAACUGGACAGCUGAGUGUCAUAAACUCUAAAAUAGUCCAGGCUAUAGUAA